UCAAGAGACCCAAGAGUUAUGAACCAAACCAGAGAAAUAGGAAAGAAAGAUAAAUCUAUUCUUUCCUUAUUUUCUUUUUGGGUUUUUUCACUCGAUUUCAAAUCUAAUGCGAAUUUCUUAUUUCUAAAAAACUUCUGAUACUCUUUAAAAUCUGAAAUUGAAAGAGAUAAGAUGAUUCACAAAGCCAAUAUUUGGAAAUCAAGUUGGUGGCAAUGGACAAAAAACUAUCUAGGUUUUAAUUUGCAUCUUUUGGUAUGGUGAGCAGUAUCAACUGAGAUUCGAAAGGUGACUUUUUUCAAUCAAGGUUUUUUUGGUGAUAUGGCUGAAUUUUUGAUGAUUUUGUUUCUUUCUCUGCCAGAAAUGAAUCCUCUCCUUGCUGACAGAUAAGUUGAUUUAUUCAGAAAGCUUAACUCAGUCGAACUUGAUGGACCAUGAGAUCGUUAAAAUGCUUCAUUCCCUCAUCUCUGCAUAAUAUAGAUCCUCCCGAGGAAUCGUGCACGAAAACUAUCUCUUCGAACGAUGUGCUUGACUUCAAUGCCAGUUUUACUGACAUAAUGAGAAGAAUCAAGGUUUCUUUCCCACCUGUGAAUUAAAGGAAGAAAUCGAUCAAUGAUGUUGACUAAGAUCGAUAUAUCAUUGAUACCUCUUUUCAGGAUUAUAAACAGCCGAAAGGUUCUGGGACAUCAGAACUUGGUGAUGGGAUGUGUCGACCAGUUAGUCUGCAUGUUUAAGGUGAACUCUUGCAUAUGACAUUUUCUGUUCUACUGUUAGGUUAAAUUAUUUACACCCAUUUUCAAUUAAAAUGAGUUAUUUCAAAGAAAUUUCAUAGUUCUUAUUGCCGAAGUUUGAAUGCUCUUUAGUGGUUAUAUAUACUUAAUUAUAUAUGUUCAUGAAAACCCAUAUUUUAGAGAUUUACCAUGUAAUUCUAUUUUAGAAUGUGAUUCAUAUGGGAAGAUCAUUAAGGUCCUCAAAACAAUGUAUUUCAAUUGACGGAAUUGAAAAAUUAAAAUACUCAACGGACUUUUUGACGUCCUUUUAUAGUUGGAUAUAUAGAGUCAUCUGAGGUUAGGAUAGUCUUAAAUUUUUGCUCACUUAGUAGUUUAGCUCUAUAGAGAUAAAACACUUGAUGCGUCCAUUGAAAACACGAAGCAGGUUCCAAUCACCACACUAGUGUGCUGAUAUAUAGAAUCACCUGGGCAACAAUCAGGUGUAUAUAUAUCUUACCUCUACUUGCUUAUAAAUGAAGAUGCAUCAUGGGACCAAUUUGAUGACAUAUUGUAGAUAGUUGGGGUUGCUGGAUAUAGCGGAUUUCUUUUACUAAAUGUAGGAAUUGUAUGUUUAAAUUGUUGUGUGUAAUCCCACUACAGUCUAGACUCUACACUACUUCUGUAUUUUUAUUUCUGAUUAGUAUUUCCAUAGGUUUCAAUAAAUUUUUCAGUAAAGGAAUCAACACUUUGUGUGUUUUCAGACCUAAUAUAAUUUUCUUAUUUAUUUUUUUGGGUAAAGAUCAAAAGAACCCUCUUUUGUGGUUUCUCAUUUAAUUUUUAGGUCUGUAGUUCAGUAAUUUGUGCCUCUUUACAUUCCAUGAAUCCUGAUUUAUUUUUUUAUUAAUAACUGUUGAUAAAUCUUUGCUUAUAAAUGUUAACUGGAAAUGAGUAGAUUGAUCUAUUUGAAAUUGUAAAGUUAAAUACAAGUGAUUUUUCCGAGUGAACAAUUAACCAUUCUGAAUUGUUACUAUGCUCAAUUGAUCAUUUAGAUGUCUUUCAGUUGUUGAUAUGUUAUUCAAGCCGUAUCGUUCUUACCAUCCUCUGGGUUAGUGUUCGAUAGUCAAGAAAUUUGAUGUCAAAGUAGAUGUGGGGAAAAGAUGAAGUGCUUCAGCAUAAAGACGAGGCUGCUUAAGAAGAAACAAAUCAUUGUGAGGCUAGGACAAUCAUUUGCUAAAAAUACUAUUAUGGUUUUCAUAAAAUUGUGCUAAGGAAAUGUAUUGGGCGUGGGCUGAAUUAGACUUUGUGCUUAGUGUCAGAUCCUCUGAGGAGGGUGUCUCUCUUCCUUCAGCAGUAAGUGUACAUUAUUCAAACGAAAAGUUACUUUGAUAAUUACUGAAUUGUUUUCUUGAUUUUAAAUCUGG